GAACUGCGAUAAGUAAUGUGAAUUGCAGAAUUCAGUGAAUCAUCGAGUCUUUGAACGCACAUUGCGCCCCCUGGCAUUCCGGGGGGUAUGCCUGUCCGAGCGUCAUUGCUGCCCUUCAAGCCCGGCUUGUGUGUUGGGUCGUCGUCCCCCUCGGGGGACGGGCCCGAAAGGCAGCGGCGGCACCGUGUCCGGUCCUCGAGCGUAUGGGGCUUUGUCACCCGCUCGAUUAGGGCCGGCCGGGCGCCAGCCGGCGUCUCCAACCUUAUUUUUCUCAGGUUGACCUCGGAUCAGGUAGGGAUACCCGCUGAACUUAAGC
rnacentral:misc_RNA from 1 species